ensembl:lncRNA
GGGGGGGGGGGGGGGUCGCUGAAAAUGCUACAACCUCUCCACAAAUUUCUCCAACGUGUCUCCUGUGGUAUCUCCGACCAUGGCUAGGUCGGUGGGCAGGCCGCCACGGCCCGGCGCGUUGAGCUGCGAGAGCAUGGUGCUCUGCUCAGAUGUGCCCAGGUGCCCCUGCUGCUCCAGGGUGGCGCCAGCGGGCAGGGGUGUUCCCAGGCCAGGGUGAGGCGAGGCGGAGUGGGGUGAGGGCUGCGGCUGGACCUGCGGCGAGGGGCUGGAGUGCUGCUGCGAUGGUGGUCGUGGGGACUGCACAGGUGCUGGAGAGCGAACCUGGCUACCCAGCGUGCUGCCUGGCAUGGGCUGUCCAGGUAGCAGGUGGCCUUGCGGACUCAUAGGGUUUGGUGGUGCCGGCGAGCCCAUCUGGGUCUUGAGGACUGCCUGCUGCUGCUGCUGUUGCUGCUGCUGCUGUUGUUGGAGCAUGCGUUGGUGGAUCAAGGUCUGUGUAGCAUCCAAUCCUGACUGCCCCAUUUGUGGCAUUGGCGGAAGUUGGCUCAUGGGUCCACCAGCGCCUAGCAUUUGUUGUUGGUGUUGCAUGCGAAGUUGCGAGUAGCUGGAUGCAGCACCCUGCGCUUGAGGGAACUGGCCAUGCGCUUGAGGCAUCACACCCUGUUGCUGCUGCUGCUGCUGCUGCUGUUGCUGUUGUUGCUGUUGUUGCUGCUGCUGCUGUUGAUGGCGCAUCAGCUGCCGACGGUACAACUCUAGCUGCGCUGGGCUCAUCUGUUGACCCUGCGCUGGGCCGAGAGCCGCCAUGCCUUGUGUGUUUGGCUGUUGAGGUUGUUGCGUUGGCAUGCCAGGUCUUUGGACACCCUGCAAGGCUGCCAUGGCUUGCAUUGUGGGCUGCAUGCCCUGUUGUUGCUGCUGCUGUGGCUGGCUGGCAUACUUCGCUGUCCUCUGCUUGAUGAAAGCUGCCAUGAGCUGCGGGUUGGACUUGAGGAUGUUAAGCACCUGCUGCUGUUGCUGCGGUGAGCUGGGAGACUUGAGUGUGCGCAGAAGGUCUUGCAGGGCAUUCGGUGCGAUGGCUGGAGGUCUCUGGGGUGCUUGGGGUGGCCGCUGGCCCUGCGCAGGCACCAUCAUGCGCUGCGAAGGCUGCUGAGGCAUCAUGGGCCUCUGCAUUGGCAUGGCUUGCUGUGGGCCUUGCGGCGCCUGCUGCUGCUGUGGCUGCGGUUGAGCCGCCUGCUGCAUUCCCGCUUGCAUUCCCGCUUGUGGCCACUGGCCCGGCGGCAUGCCUUGCAUGACCUGCUGUCCCCGAGGUCCCACCAUCUGCAUAGGAGGCUGCAUGGCGCCCGGCAUACGCUGCUGUGCUUGCUGGUGGUUCAUGGCCAAGCCGUUUACAGCCAUGCGGUAGUUCUGGCUCUGCUGGGCCUGCGCCAUCAUCUCGAUCUUGCGUGCCAUUUGGACGGCAGCAGCAGGCGGGUGCUGCGGUUGCAGUGGCGGCUGCUGCUGCUGUUGCUGCGGUUGCUGAUGCUGCUGCGGUUGGGGUUGGGGGAGUGGAGACGGCUGUUGGUGCAGCGGUGAAGCCUGCGCACUUGAUUUACCCUGGGAUACUUGCUGGCCAUUGCGGGGGGCAGCAGGAUACGUGGGAGACAUGACACCGGCGUUGGGCGUGGUUGGCUGGCUAGGAAGGAGGGGCUGUGGCGUUUGGGGCGUGUUUGGCUGCUGCUGCGGCGGCUGCUGGUGUGCUGUGGGGGUGCCCGGAGCGGCAGAAGGCGGAGGGGACGGCAGGCUUUGGGGUCCGGCGCGGCCUUGCAUGGUGGCCAUGCGCCGUCGCAUCAUCUGGGCCUGCUGGAGGCGGUGCUGCAGCUGCUAAGGGCACAGGGCACUUGUUCUCCUGGCAGUGCUUGGCAUGGUAACAGCAAAGCGCGAUGAGCUGCUUGCAGACAGGGCAGCCUCCGUUGGUCUUGCGCUUACAACCCUUGGUGUGCUGCACCACCCGCUUCAUCUUCUGGCAGGACGGAAGUGAGCAGUUGGCGUUGCGACACUGACAGGCAUGCACCAGGGACUGGAUGCAGCGCUGGAUGCUCAGACGCCGGCUCUCCUGCGGGCUCUUGGAGGCCUCGCCACUCUGACUGUUGCUGUCGUCAUCCAGACCGAGACCCCACUUGACCAUCUGGUGUUCGUGGCCCUUAGUGUUGUAGCAGUUGAUGCACAAGUCGAA